rnacentral:lncRNA from 1 species
CAGCAGAAAGUCUACAAUGGAAGAGCUACCUAGAAACCAACAAAUGGCCUACAUUCUGGGUCACAACAGCUCAAUGUACAGUGAUGGACUCCUCAUUAGGUGGCUGGGCAUGCAGAAACUAUAAGGCCCCGGCGAGCACAGGAGUAGAAGACAACUGGAUCCUGAGCCACUCUCAAGCAAGGAGAGCAAUGCAGCUUAGAGAGAGAAAAAUGCCUUGCUGAGGGUCAACAGCAAGUGCACAGAUCCCAGGGCUGUGAUGGGACCAGAAGAUGAAGUGCUCUGGCUUCGGGAAAAGAGACCCAAGCCACAAGGAACAUCCUCGGUGGCAGUCCAGUCCCCAAGCCUACCACAUCAAUCAGCUCAGGUGAAUUCAAAUGAAGCUAGAUUGGAACUGUAGUGAGACCGACCAUCCUUGAAGGGGAAAUUCAUGUGACGAACUUACUGUAAAGACCACUGGUCACAACAGCUCACAAUGAACACUCGUCUUUGAAUCAAACUUCCAUCAGCUGGCACUGACUUGGGCGUCUACUCUACCAGGAAACCAGUUCCUGGUGCCAAAAUGUGUGGAGGCCACUGAGCCAACAGAUAUGAGAGGAAGAAGAAAACCGGAACAGUCUCACCGUUAUGAGAUAUGACUCAGGAACUCUGGGAUAAAAGAACUUUCAAACCUUGAUUUGGCCCAAUUAGCUAUUUUACAGAUGAGGAACUAAGACUCAGAGGAAAAACCCAACUUUUCAUCAGGGAUGUAAAUUCAGCCUGGGUGCUGUGAUACCUCAGACCCCAAAACAGUACAAAAGGAACACACGCCGAAUCAGCCUGCUGCAGACAGGCAGGUCUGUGCACGCCCUACAGAGGUCCUGAGUUGCACGGAAGAUGCUGAAUCACCCCGCUGCAGACAGGCAGCCACCUGAUUCCACACUACAAAGACGCAGAGGACACCAGACCACCAG